CCCCCAACCACCAGACUUUUUUCUUUUGCCCUGGUUCCUGCUGUGCCUGAGCUGCCCUGGUGUCUCUUUGCCCUCUGGGUUGGAGCUGCUGGAGGAGCUCUGGUGGCAGCACACGCUGUCCUGCAGGCACUGCUGGGGACAAGUCUCCUACCCCACUGCUGAGCAAUUCUGAGAUCCCCAAUCCCAUCUGGAGGGUGGGAUCCUCCUGGGUGUGCUGUGCCCUGCUGAGAUGUGAGCCCAGGCUGGGCUGUGCUGUCUGCCCGUGCUCCCUGCCCUGCUGCAGCAGAGGAUUUGCCUUUCCUGGAAUGCCAGCACUGUGUUGGAGAAACUCUGCGAUUAGAAGAGCAAAAGGGCAGUGCCUGAUUACUUCAGCAAGCUGAGCAGGGGCUGUAAGCUCAUUAAGGGGCUUGGGCUCUGCCUGCCCAAGGAGGGACACCUCAGUCCGGGUGUGGGAAGGUCCCAGUGCUGCUCCCAGAGCUGAGCUCUCACCCAGCCCAGCCAUGCUGGGCACCCUGAUGACAGCGCUGUUCUUCGUGGUGAGGGCGGUCAGGCAGGUGAGUCUGGACCCAGGAACAUUUAUUGCUGCCCUGCUGUUCUCUCCUGCUCUCUGAUGGGGCAGGCAGAGCACUUUCUGCUUGCCCUGCUAGGAAUGGCCUCUGUGCCUCCUAAACCCCCUGGGCAGGAGGGUGGGGGCUCUGUGUUACCACAGGGAGUGCCAGGGGAGGGUUGUGAUCUCUGAUGGUGAUUGUGGCUGAGCAGCUCUUUCUGUUCCUCUGCUGUCCUUUUCCCUGCUGAAAAACCCUCCCCGUGUGCAGCUGGGGACCAACCUGUUCCGUGAGGAGCCCCUGCCUUACCUGGUGUACCAGCCCCUGCCCUGGCAGAUCCAGUGCGUGUCCCAGAGCCGCCGCACCAGCCGGGACAGCGAGAGAGGCAGGAACUCCCGGCACAACAGCGUCUACUCGCUUUCUGGAGAGAAAGGUGACAUGAGCCCUGAUGCCAGCAGCGACAGCAGUGACCCUUCUGAGAGGGCAGCCAUCACCAUCCAGACCCACUUCAGGAGGUACCAGCAGCAGAAGCAGGAGAAGAAAUAGCCCCAGCAGCCACCUGUGGCCUGCACUGUCCCUCCUGUUUGUCUGUUCUGUACCCCAGAGACAUCUGGGGCCGUGGUGACUGUGAACCUGCCCCCAGUACGUAGCUCCUGGUGCAGGUGUAGGUUCUCUGCCCUGGUGUUGGUGCUCACAGGGGCUGUUCUCCUUCAAACCCUGCUGUGGUGGAGGGCAGGGGGAUCCCUGAGAGCACAGGGUGUGCUGGAAACUUGUGCUGUGCUCAACUGUGCAAGGCCAGGGCUUGUGCCUGCUGGGGAAGGGAAGCGGGGAAUCCUUGCUGAGAUGUAGAAGGAAAUCUGUACUAGCCAAUUCCAAUAAAGUUGUAUUAAUCUCUGUUAA